GAUGAAGAACGUAGUGAAAUGCGAUACGUAAUGUGAAUUGCAGAAUUCAGUGAAUCAUCGAAUCUUUGAACGCAUAUUGCGCUAUCUGGUAUUCCGGAGAGCAUGCUUGUUUGAGUAUCAGUAAACACCUCAACUUCCAUAUCUUUUUUGAAAUGGGAGUUGGACUUGAGUGAUCCCAACGCUUUUCCUCACCGAAAAGUGGCGGGUUACUUGAAAUGCAGGUGCAGCUGGACUUUUCUCUGAGCUAUAAGCAUAUCUAUUUAGUCUGCCUAAAAAACAGAUUAUUACCUUUGCUGCAGCUAACAUAAAGGAGAUUAGUUCUUGUGGUGACUGAUGCAGGAUUCACAAAGACGGCUUCGGCCGACUUUGUAAACUCGAUCUCAAAUCAAGUAAGACUACCCGCUGAACUUAAGCAUAUCAAUAAGCGGAGGA
rnacentral:misc_RNA from 1 species